AUGCCAUUACCAGCCCCACCGGCGCGCACAACUCCACCAGCACCAGCCACGGACCGCCGCGGCACGGACGCCGCACGAGCCGACUCCUCCAAGCUCAAGGCCCUACGCGACUACCGGCGUGCGCGCGGGCUGUGCUUCAAAUGCGGGCAUAUUUCCUUCAAGGACCUCAUCCAACAGCAACUCCAUCGCGCGCGCCAGAUCAUGCAAGACCAAGCGAACAAGAAGCGCUCCUUCCGGCAGUUUCAGGUCAACGAUCAAGUGUACCUCAAGCUGCAGCCUUACAUCCAAUCCUCGGUGGCCCCUCGUGCGAAUCACAAGCUCAGCUACAAGUACUAUGGUCUGUUCAAGAUCAUCGCCAAGAUCAACGACGUCGCCUACAAGCUGCAACUCCCUCCCCAAGCUACGAUGCAUCCUGUCUUCCAUGUGUCGCAAUUGCGUCAGGCGCUACUUCCUGGCACGUUGACAUCUCCAACUCUACCAGUAGACACAUGCGUCACAACGAUCCCGAUCAAGAUCCUCCAGUCAAGAUGGCGCAAGAAGAACGGGACCAUGAUAGAGCAAGUCCAAGUUCAAUGGUCAGCAGGCGCGGCGAUCGACACCACCUGGGAGAACAGGCAAGCCCUCCAAGCUCGGUUUCCUCAUGCGGAGGCUUGGGGACAAGCCUCAUCUCAAGGAAGAGGGAUGUUAGUGCACCUGACGACUCGUCCCCACCGGCUAACAAGACCCGGGCCCAGCCCAGCUGCGCUCGAUGCGGCAACCCGCGCUACUUUGGACCAGAAUGGCACAACCAGCCCGGCCCAGUGGCCCCGACUACUUAAGGCACCGCUCCCUGCUCUCCCCCUCAUCCAGUGGAUCACGAAACCGGUGGUGGCACGAACCCUAGUUCUUCCUUGUUUGAUCCAUUCUUGUACUCAACAUUGUAUCCUGACCAUAUUGCCAUUGAGAGAAAUACUAGAUCGAUCCCGUCCCUAG
rnacentral:rRNA from 1 species